GCUGUGUGAGCAUGAAUUAACCAGGAAUGUUCGAGAAUUAUUCCUGAAUAAUUCAUGAACCUGAAUUAAUCAUGCAUUUUCAUGAAUUAUUCAUGAAUAACUCAUGGAAAUGCAAGGUUUAUUCAUGCUCCAAAAAACCCAAGGCUUUUUCUCUUCUCCUCUGCAUUCUCUCCCUUGGGGACAGCAGGUGGGAGCUUCCUAAGCCAGACAAAGGAGACCUGACAAGAAACUGUGCUGAAGGGACAAGCCCAAGGCAAAGGAAUGUCCGGUCACCUCCUCCCCUGGAGCAGGCAGCUGAGAUCUGCAUAGACAGGAGACAUUUUGCAAGACUCAACACCUGGAGCAGUGCUAACCAGGGCUCACUGCCUCGGGUAGAACUCCAUUUGCUGAGCUUUCCUGCUCCAGGUGGGCAGCCCUGAUGUCGGCCAAGCUCUACGUGCUCAUCAGCUGGCCUGAUGGCAGCCGUGUCAUCAGCAUGGAGAACAUCAAGGAGCCCCGCAAGCCCUUCCAUCUCUACGUUGUGGGUGAACAGGUGCUGGCCCGCUGCCCUGGCUUCAGUGGGCUCUACUGGGGGAUUGUGGAAGGCAUAAGUGAGCAUAAAGAUGCUUUGGAGAAGAAGCUGCUGGAAGAUAGACAACUCCUGGAGAAGUUAAAAGACGAACCAGCUGUCCACAGCAUGAUGCCACCCCAGCCAAAAAAAUCCAGGAAAACCUUCCCAAAAUGGACCCCGGUGAAUGCAUGCAGGAAAUACCACACUGACAGGACUUACUCUGGGAAGCCACUGCUGCAGGCAGCUGAGCCCAUCCUGCCCUGCGGUGCUGGCAGCCCCUCCAUCACCAAGGAGAGAUGUACCCUGGGGCCACCCCAUCCCACCAGCACCUUCACCCCCACAGCCACUUUUGUCAGCCUGGCUGUGCCGGGGACUUCCCAGGGUGAGGAGGACAGAGCUGGCACCACUACCAAAGAUUACGUUGCCCUGGCAAUGAAGAGGAAGUCAGAUGGCAUCUUGUCCCAAUGCCAGCAACACAUCUGUCUGAACAGCUGUGAAGAUGGACAGCUGGACACUUUGCAGGACACGGGUGGUUUUGAGAGAGUUCAGAAAAGAUCUGCUCCCAGUGAAACGGAAAGGGAGAAGAUAGAGCAGCUGGAAAGGAUGGUCUUGGACCUCCAACAGGAUGUCCUCUCUCUGAAGAAGAAGGUACAGAGGCUGGAAUCCCUGUCCUUCCAGGAGGAGCCCCACCGGCAGCCCUGUGAGGUGGUGGAGCUCUUCAAUGGCUACACCAAGGAACAGCUCCGAGAAGCAAUCCGCUUUGACCAGAAGAUCAGCACUGCCUGCAAGACGCUGCUCUACAAGCUCUUCACGUCUGACUACAUCCAGAGCCACUCCAUCACGGGGCGCAGAGGCAACACUUUCCGAGAGGCAAAACCCAUGAUGGAUGAGCGCUGCAUCAAAAUCAUCAGGGUGCUGCUGAAACAGAAGUUUGGGGACCACCUCAGCGACACGGUGAUCACAGAGAAGAUACAAAACGUGCAGAAAGCUCUGAGGCAGAAGUUUAAGACAGAAUGUCUCUGACAUGGGGGUGGUUUGGUGUCUCUGGUCCUACCCUUCUCAUCAGUGCACCUGAGCGUCCCUCCCAAAAAUAUCGUGUCUGCAUUGCUGCUGCUUGGCUGAUUCCUCCUGAGGCACUGAAGAGGACACAGAUCUUUCACAAACAUCUACCUGCAUUAAUCAGAGGGAAGUUUGCUCAGCUUGGCUCCAGGUUUGCACAUCUGCCAGCACUUUACCAGUUCCUUCCACUACAGUCUGUGUGCCAAGCUCAACUCAUGGCUGGGUGUUGACCCCUGGGUCUUUUUGAUGGACACACUCAAAAGAUGGAGAUUUCCCAUUGGAUCCAAGCGUGGGUUGGUGAGCCAACCUUGCAGUGGUCAGGGAGGGAGAUUGGUGGGAGGGCAGGAGCUGCAGCCCCAACAAAGCAGCAGCUCCAUUUGCACAGGGACUUGGGAGCACCCAAUGUGACUUCUUGCAUAGCACAGCAGUCCCCUCAUCCUGUGGACAGCACCUACUCCCUUUUUGAACGCAUACUGCAGCUUCUCAUGGUAACAGAAGGGCAGGCUCAUUAACACCAUGCCAUAAAACCUUCAGAGAAGGAUUACUUCACUUUUCUCCCCCUCUGUUUUAAUGUGGCUGUCUGGAAGAAGUGUCUGCACUAAUGAAGCCUGCUGAACAAGAGAAGGUCUCCUAUGGAAGUUACACUGCAUUGAUUUUCCUUUUAAAACUAGAUUAUUUCCAUGGAGAAAUCCUGCAUGUUUCUGUGAAUGGGGGCAAGCAAUGGGGGCAAAAAGUGGCCAACUGCAGGUACACCUUUCCUUCAAAGAUCAGACACACUGUGAUGCAGCCAUUAUAAUUUAAGUACAAUGUUUGUAGCCUAACUAAGAAAUGCCAGGUAGAAUCAGCUACUUUCAUUAGAUGUGUUUAACAGUCAUGCUGCAUUGCUGGAGUCAGUAACUGAUGAUAUUCCUUCUGUUUCUUCUUCCUCUCAACCAUGUGAAGGUGGUGGGUGGUUUCUUGUUAGCAUGGACCUUGAUGUGAGCAGCAGCUGAACCCAAUCACCUGUGAGUGCUGCACCUGGAGCCAUGCUUACCUCUGGUUUAUAAUGAGCAAAAUUGCCCCAAACAGCCCUUAAAAUGUGGCUGCCAUUCCAUCAGUGUGUUACUGAGGACCUCAGGUUGGCCUUACUGCCCAGGUGAGCACCCCAGGAGAUGCUUUGAGUGUUGGCUUACGAAAGGGAGGAUCAAGGAGGCACAGGUAGCCUGAUUUUGAUGCACUUUGGCACCAGCCCAUGGGGCUCUGUGCAUCUCCAGUUUUCAGCUUCCCCAGCAGCAGGAUGCAGUGGUGAGGAUGCUUCCUCCAACCUGCCGAGCCCUGGGUGCACCUUCUGCCUUCAUCCAACCUCCUGGUGCUUUGCCACAUCCUUUGCCAAGCUGCAGCCUGGAAAGCCAGCUCACUAAUGUUAUUUAGUAAAAUAUUAAAACCCUGUGUUGCUUUCCUCCUCGCCGAGAUGCCAAUCAUUAGCAUGAAAGGAGGUAGAAAGCAAACUGCAGGGACAGACUGACUGUGCAGGUAUGACGGCUCCUGAAACAAGAUGUCUCUAAUUAGCUCCUCUGGAAGCAGCUGAGCCUGGGAACCUUUCUGUCAAGAACCCCAGAAACCCCCCAAAAUCAGGGCUGGGGGGGAAUGGGCUGCUGGCUGCUGCCCGACUCCAUGUGCAGCAGCCUCGGCACUAAUGAGACCAUGUUCAAAUGGGCCCUUCCAGGCAAUAAACUUUGGCCUCAGGCACUGCUGAAGGCUUUGAUAUGGCAGGGAGGGCUGAAGAAAGGCAACGCAGGUGGCUUUUCAUUAAACUUCAUUUGUGAGGUAUUUGUGGAGGGGAGACAGCGGCUGCAGGCUAAUUGGGAGCACUCAGACACUGACGAUCAAGCACCUCUAUGAGGAAGCCAGUGCUCUCCUCCCCUGAGCUCCAGCUCGGGCUAAUCAGCCUCAGGAGGGGAGAUCACAGCACAGGGAUGGGGCUUCCCCUCGGGGAUGAAGGGUCAGGGAAGAUGGAGGAGGAGGAGGGUUUGUGCCAGAGCCACUUCACCUGGGGAUGUUCAAAGCCUGCAUCCCUCUCUAAGUGAUGGAGAGCAGCUUGACUGCACUGCAUUAACCUUUCACUUUAAAGGAAUUACUGGGAGAAGCAGGACAGGUCUUUCUGCUGAGAUGAAUCAGGUGAGGACAUAACACCUUGUUAAAAGCAAUGCUCCCGUUCAGUUUCUGGGCACUCUGGGUACUGCAGGACAUGGGCAGUGAAAGCUGGGCUCAAACACAGGCUGAGCUUCAAGUUGAGAGCAGCCUGAGGAGGUGCUGCCAAUGGGAGCUUACAUGGGGAAAAAAAUACAAGCUGCCAAGAGAAGAGGGAAAUUCUCUGGUGCUCAACCCUAUUUAGUUCAGUUUUAUCUCCUUGGCUCUGCCAGGGGGGUUCCAGCGUCCAGCACAGGCAGGCUUUAAUUUCCCAUUUCUUGGCUCGUAAGAAACACACACCGCUAAGUCUGAAUAUCCAUGCUGUGUGAAUCCCCUUGGAAGUGUAGCACAGUUUAAUGAAAUCACACAAACUGUGAGCUUUGGUUAAAGGAAUGAUGUUAAAAUGUAACAGAAUCUUUUCUGGUGUUUUAAUCAAGCCUUACAAAAGCUGGCUGCCUUUGCAAGAGUCCCGGGCAGCUGCCACCAGCUCCAGGAGGCGCCCUGAGCUUGCUCCAAGCAGAAUUAGUGAUGGAAGAGCUUUGUGCUUAGUCGUUCCAGAUGCUCUACCAGCCAACCCAAGGAACUGGGAUGCAAGCUAGAGAGAGCUCAGCUGCAUGGCCGUGGAAUGCUGAGAUGCCAAGCCGUGCUCUCUCACUCUCAAAGCUCUCGUCUCCUUGUGGCAUUCAGCACACAGAGAGCAUCUCGACAAGUGGGUUUUGCUUGUUCUGUUCUGGUAUGUCUUUAUCUUAUUUGGCUUUUAAAACGUGGUGAAAGACAGAGAACGCACCUGGAGACGUUGCCCCACAUCCACACAGAUGUAUUGCAUUAAUGCUUUUGAUUUUUUUUUUUAAUUUUUUUUUACAGCAGUCACUUUUCAUCAUCAUUUUCCAUUUUUCUUGAAAGGAUAACUGCAUAUUUUUGGAGAGCAUGGCCACAUACCUGGUAGGUGUGCAAAUACAUCGGAUUUUAUCUCUUUCAUCUCUCUGCUUCAGUUACGUACUCAUUACACAUGAUUUUUACCAGUAUUUCUCUGUACAUGAUUACAUUAUUCAGCCUCAUAUCUUUCUAUCUCCAGAAUCUAUUCAGAGUCAAAUGGAACUGAGGAGAUCGUUAUUAAAACACAGAAAGCGCAGGAAUAAAAUUAACCGUAGCACCAGUUCUCUGUGUGCUGAAUACACCGAGGAAAUAAAAGGGCCUUCCACUUCUAAUAAAAUCUGGAUAUGAAUUGCCUUGUAAGAGCUUAAAUGAAUUAUGUUCAGAGGCCAAAAAGAGAGAAAAGAGGCAGCUUGGUGCCCUCCAACUGUGGGCUGUCUGCUUGCAUUGCCUUGGUGUGCAGCAUGCCAUAGAAGCUCCAAAACCAGGUGGCAUAUUCUGCUUAGAGUCAGCUUUGAGAUUGCCUGAACGGUUGGGCCAUACAUCCACCUGCAGCUGGAGGACAUCCUGGUGACAUAUGGAUUCCAUGGAGGUUGCUGGCCCUCUGCCUGCCUCCUCCUGCAGGCUCAGCCUUUGAUUCAUCCUUGCCCAGGUGCCUCAGUGGAGGGGGAAGGACAGAGGUUUGAUGGCUUCUCAACCCAAUGCUUACCCCAUUCUAAUCCUCCCAGCGAGGAUUUGGGGCAUAGAUACAGCUUCUCAGCUUCCUCCCCUGAGCACAGGAAGACAAGGGUUGGUGGGACCAUGCUCCAGCAUCCCCUUUCCAACGGCACGUGCCUGUUGUCCCACAGCAUCGCACUCCUCCAGCCACAUCAUGCAAUUUGGAGGCACGUUCUCUCUUAAUGGUACGUCUUAUUAGGUGAGUUGGGUUUUUUGUUUUUUUGUUUUUUUUUUUUUUUUACUUGGCAAAUGGAGUUAGGUGGAGCAAUGGGAGCUGUGUGCCUAACUCAGCAAGGGAGAAAUUAGCACCCUGCAAGGCCGACGACUGCAUGGUGCUUAUUGAUAGCUUCUCAUAGAUACAAGAAGCAGAGCCCAGUGUUGGGCAUGUGAGGGAUGAGGAAGCUGCAGAACCAAUGUAUUCCUGCUCAUGAAUAAUCAUUAAACUCUUAUGAUCCAAAGGAGAUGGGAGGUUAUUAUUAUUUUUAUUAAUUCUAGUAGCACUGUGUCCAGAGACACAGAAGGUGGCUAUGAAUGACAGUUUGUGGAUUCUGAUGGUUUGCCCAUUUUUCUCAGGAAUUUGCAGCAGGCUCAGAUCUGGUCCCAUGCUCGUUAGGAGAACACUGUGUGGAGAAGAAACAUUCAAUAGUGAAUGUUUGUGUCUGAUUCUGCAGAGGGAGAAUGGUGCACCGAUGGCUCAGGAGCAACAUGGAGCCUUUUUUCAUCUCCUCUGUGCUUUCCUGGCCCGGUGCAAAGUUGGAUGAAGUCAAUGUUAACAUCAUUAAAUAUCUUCAGUUUAACUGAAUUUGUCUGGACCAAGGGAGCAAUUCAAAGCUCUAUCUACCCACCAUUCUCUGUGAGAAGUAACCUGCUAACCCUGCCUGUCCCUGCAAAACUGUAUCAUAGAUCUGCAGUAAUCUUUGGUGACAAAUGGUCUGAAAAGUAGAAAAGGAAGAAGCCCAUGAUUUUUUUUUGUGAGCAGAUGAGUUGUCUGGAUUAGGAAGGACAACAGAGGCACUUCCAGCUGCAUGGUCGUUGUCCUGGUGUUUCUUAUUAAAAUUAACUGCCUAAAAAUUGCAGUUACCAUCAACUAGCUACAAGAUGUUUUAUUGUGUUCUGUGGUCCCUGGAGCUUACAUACCCGAAGCUUGCAACCUGGUGAUUAGGAAUAUCGUUUGGAAAAAAAUCACAGUUUAACCAAUACGGUGCAGUGCCAGCUUCAACGAGCUCUGCCUUUAUGAAUAAUGAGGUGGACAAAUGGGUGCUUCCCCAGGUGGCAGACUGAAACACAACCGAGCACAGAAAUUGCUUUUUCAUUUUUGUGGCUGAAAACUGGAAGGGUGUUUUUGGAAAGUCACCCAACUGCCAUCUCUUCCCGUCCCCUCCAUGAGAUGCCAUUGCAAGGCUGGGUUUUCACCGCAGAAGCCAGCGUCAGUUUUGCUCGGUAACUCCAGCCUGCAGAAGUUCAGAUACAAGACAAUCAGUUUAUCAGCAAUGAGUGGGAUUCAGUUUUCAGUCCCUAGAUUUCAACAAACCACUGGAAAAAUACAGCUGUGAUUUUUCCCACAAACAGAAACUGGACGGGCUGCUGAGAGCUCUCAUGUGGUUUGCUCACUUUACAGUGUUGUGUGCAGAAAGUGAAUUGGCCAAACUCUGCUUCAAAUGUGCAUUUCUGGCAUGACAAGGAAGCAAGUAACUCUCCUCAGCUUGGAAUAUCCUCCCCCAGACCAUCGUGUUUAUUUGCUUUACACAAAGGCAAGACUUCCUCUGGCUCACCUGCGGAUUUGCCAUGUGUACUUCUCAUUGAGCAAUCCACCAUGGCAGAAGAAUCAAAGAGGUUUCAGCUCUUUCCCCUACCCUUGCCUUCCCUGUCUGGCAGUGUUAAUGAGUGAUAAUGCCUCAUGAUUUUUUUUCACAGGCUAUUGCUGCUGAAAAUUGCUUUGGUGCACUGGGACUCUUAUUCGCUGGGUAUAACAAGAGCGUUCUGCAAAGCAGAGGGAUAAGGACUGAGGAAGUGUUGUAUUUAGAAAUCCUUUGUUGGUCUGACCUUUAUCCUGUCUCAGAAUCAACUUUUAAAGAGUGAUUCCUAUCCCACAUCACCAGGUGCUAUGGAGGAGCAGCAGCUCUCUCCCUUGCACAGAGAUAACUCACACAUCCAAAAGGCAACGAUGCCCACUCCAAUGGCAGAGACUUUGGGCACAGGACCACUGCCAUUUGGGGCUCUUUAUGAACGAUGAAUCUUAGAUUUGUAUAAUAAAAGGCUGGAGAGCUGCUACCUGGGUGGAAAGAGUGGGACCCCAUUCCUACACCUUCCUCACUGCCUGUGUCUGUGUACCGGAGGGCUCAGUGAGAUUUGAGAAAAUGAUAUUUCUUUUGAAGUGGUGGUAGCUGAAGCAUGAAUACAGUCACAAGGAAUGGGGAAGUUUUUCUCAUGUACUGAACCAUUUGUUUGCAAUGAAUCUGCAGCAGAGCAAACCCCAGCGGGUCCCCAAGGCUGGAGCAGAGGAGAUGCUUUGUGUGCUGUGUUGUUCUCCCUAAAAUGUGCAUCGUGGUUCAUUGCAUUGACUCCAAGCCCCCUUGGCUUUCACCGCCCCAUGGGGGACUGGGAAGAGGACUGGAUGCAUGCUGGGGCCAAAUUCAGCCCCAUAAGGGCUGUAUGCAGCUGCUGUCCCAUCAGCAUCACCAAAGCAGUGAGAAGUUGCACUACUGAGUACACUGAGAAAAUGUAUUUGGCUUCUUCUGUCCUUCAGCAUUUCCUGAAGGGGAUGGACACAGGCAUCUCAUAGGGCUGCAAAGCAAUCUAGGAUAUGGUCAAGGCAUAGCUGGCCAUAUGAAAGGAAGCUUCAAGACAGCUUUAUCCCAAACUUCCAAGAUGAGAGCAGUGCUGGGAGGCAGGAAGGGGUGGCACUGGGGAUUUCUGGACUCACCGUGCACCAUAUCUGAAGAGAUGGCAGCUCUGGGUAUUAAAUAGCCUUCAAGAGAACAGGAACAGCUGCAAAAUGUUUUUUUGUUGACCAGUGGUACAGCUCUGGCUGCACUGAAUCUGAAAAGUCAGCAAGUAGAUUAAACAGUACAGUUUAGCUCUGAGGGCUGAGCAUGGGGCUCGCCUCAGAAAUGGGUUCUCAGAAACCAUAAUUGAAAGAAAAUGUGAUAUUUCUAAAUCUCACAAGGCUGGGAAUCUGCAGAGAGGCACAGGCGGAGCAAUGGAGCGCACGUGCUGUGUGUGCCCAUCCUGCCUUUCUUGUCAGCGUCUCAUUCGGUGUUGCCAUAAUAAUGAGCAUCCGCUCCCAUCAAAAAAUACAAUAAGCUCAUUACUUAUCU
ensembl:lncRNA